rnacentral:rRNA from 1 species
AAAGCCUCCUUCGGGGGGCAAGUAGAGUGGCGCACGGGUGAGUAACACGUAGGUAAUCUACCUUUGGAUUGGGAAUAACCACCGGAAACGGUGGCUAAUACCGAAUAAUGCAGCGGCACCUAAUGGUGACAGUUGUUAAAGCGGGGGAUCGAAAGACCUCGCGUCUGAAGAGGAGCCUGCGGCAGAUUAGCUAGUUGGUAAGGUAACGGCUUACCAAGGCGAUGAUCUGUAGCCGGCCUGAGAGGGCGGUCGGCCACACUGACACUGACAUACGGGUCAGACUCCUACGGGAGGCAGCAGUCGGGAAUUUUGGGCAAUGGGCGAAAGCCUGACCCAGCAACGCCGCGUGAAGGAUGAAAUCCUUCGGGAUGUAAACUUCGCAAGAACGGGAAGAAUAAGUAAGGGUUAAUAUCUCUUACGAUGACGGUACUGUUUGUAAGCUCCGGCUAACUCCGUGCCAGCAGCCGCGGUAAUACGGGGGGAGCAAGCGUUGUUCGGAUUUACUGGGCGUAAAGGGCGCGUAGGCGGCCACCGCAAGUCGACUGUGAAAUCUCCGGGCUUAACCCGGAACGGUCAGCCGAUACUGCGGGGCUAGAGUGCAGAAGGGGCAACUGGAAUUCUCGGUGUAGCGGUGAAAUGCGUAGAUAUCGAGAGGAACACCUGCGGCGAAGGCGGGUUGCUGGGCUGACACUGACGCUGAUGCGCGAAAGCUAGGGGAGCGAACGGGAUUAGAUACCCCGGUAGUCCUAGCCUUAAACGAUGAAUGCUUGGUGUCUGGGGUUUUAUAGUCCCCGGGUGCCGUCGCUAACGCUUUAAGCA